CCAUGGAUUUCCCUCAGCACAGCCAGCACGUCUUGGAGCAGCUGAACCAGCAGCGGCAGCAGGGGCUUUUGUGUGACUGCACUUUUGUGGUGGACGGUGUUGAUUUUAAGGCCCAUAAAGCAGUGCUGGCCGCCUGCAGCGAGUACUUCAAGAUGCUCUUCGUGGACCAGAAGGAUGUGGUGCAACUGGACAUCAGUAACGCAGCAGAUGCGGAAACUGAGACCCAAAGAGUUCAGGUGACUGGCCUGGAGGUCAGCGAGAGAGUUUGUGGCAGAGCGCCGAUGAAAGUCCUUACUAUCACUUUGGUUGGAUUGCCUUCCGGCGGCCUGGGGCAGGUACUGGAGUUUAUUUACACGGCCAAGCUCAGCCUGAGCUCUGAGAAUGUGGACGAUGUGCUGGCCGUGGCCAGCUUCCUGCAGAUGCAGGACAUCAUCACGGCCUGCCAUGCCCUCAAGUCACUCGCCGAGCCGGCCACCAGCCCUGGGGAGAAUAUGGAGGCCUUGGCCAUGGAAGGAGGGGACAGGAGAGCCAAAGAGAAGGCUGCAGCCACCACGCUGAGUGAGCUGAACCCUGCUGGAGGCAGUCCACCCAGGGGCCCAGGCAGGGAGCCCAAGGAGGAGCGAGGCGGUCAGGCAGAGAGUGCAGCCAGCGGUGCAGAGCAGACGGAGAAGGCCGAUGCCCCCCGGGAGCCACCGCCAGUAGAGCCCAAGCCCGACCCCACCGGUGGCAUGGCUGCUGCUGAAGCCGAGGCCGCCUUGUCGGAGAGCUCAGAGCAAGAAAUGCAGGUGGAGCCAGCCAGGAAAGGAGAAGAGGGCGAGGAGGACGCCAUGCCUUCUGGGGUCAAGGAAGAAGGGCCGCAGCUGGACAAGGGGGAUGCCCCCGAGGAGAGUGAGGAGUCGGCCAGCACGGACUCGGGCCAGGAGCUGGGCGCAGAGGCCCGGGGCCUGCGCCCAAGCACCUAUGGCGACCGUACCGAGUCCAAGGCCUAUGGCUCCAUCAUCCACAAGUGCGAGGACUGUGGGAAGGAGUUCACACACACGGGGAACUUCAAGCGGCACAUCCGCAUCCACACAGGCGAGAAGCCCUUCUCGUGCCGGGAGUGCAGCAAGGCCUUCUCUGAUCCAGCCGCCUGCAAGGCCCACGAGAAGACGCACAGCCCGCUGAAGCCCUACGGCUGCGAGGAGUGCGGCAAGAGCUACCGGCUCAUCAGCCUGCUGAACCUGCACAAGAAGCGGCACUCCGGCGAGGCGCGCUACCGCUGCGAGGACUGCGGCAAGCUCUUCACCACGUCCGGCAACCUCAAGCGGCACCAGCUGGUGCACAGCGGCGAGAAGCCCUACCAGUGCGACUACUGCGGCCGCUCCUUCUCCGACCCCACCUCCAAGAUGCGCCACCUGGAGACUCAUGACACUGACAAGGAGCACAAGUGCCCUCAUUGUGACAAGAAGUUCAACCAGGUGGGGAAUCUGAAGGCCCACCUAAAGAUCCACAUCGCGGACGGGCCCCUCAAGUGCCGAGAGUGUGGGAAGCAGUUCACCACCUCAGGGAACCUAAAGCGGCACCUUCGGAUCCAUAGCGGGGAGAAACCCUAUGUGUGCAACCACUGCCAGCGGCAGUUCGCUGACCCCGGCGCUCUGCAGCGGCACGUCCGCAUCCACACGGGCGAGAAGCCAUGCCAGUGCGUGAUGUGCGGCAAAGCCUUCACCCAGGCCAGCUCUCUCAUCGCCCACGUGCGCCAGCACACUGGGGAGAAGCCCUACGUCUGCGAGCGCUGCGGCAAGAGAUUUGUCCAGUCCAGCCAGUUGGCCAAUCACAUUCGCCACCAUGACAACAUCCGCCCCCACAAGUGCAGCGUGUGCAGCAAGGCCUUUGUGAACGUGGGGGACCUAUCCAAGCACAUCAUCAUCCACACUGGAGAGAAGCCUUACCUCUGUGACAAGUGCGGUCGCGGCUUCAACCGCGUGGACAACCUUCGUUCCCAUGUGAAGACCGUGCACCAGGGCAAGGCAGGCAUCAAAAUCCUGGAGCCAGAGGAGGGUGGUGAGGUCAGCGUAGUCACUGUGGAUGACAUGGUUACGCUGGCCACCGAGGCACUGGCGGCAACAGCCGUCACUCAGCUCACAGUGGUACCAGUGGGGGCUGCAGUGACUGCUGACGAGACGGAAGUGCUUAAAGCUGAGAUCAGCAAAGCUGUGAAGCAAGUACAGGAAGAAGACCCCAACACCCAUAUCCUCUAUGCCUGUGACUCCUGUGGGGACAAGUUCCUGGAUGCCAACAGCCUGGCCCAGCAUGUGCGGAUCCACACAGCACAGGCACUGGUUAUGUUCCAGACGGACGCGGACUUCUAUCAGCAGUACGGGUCAGGCAGCACGUGGCCAGCCGGGCAGGUGUUGCAGACUGGGGAACUGGUCUUCCGCCCUCGGGAUGGGGCUGACAGCCAGCCUGCUCUGGCAGAGACACCCCACACAGCCCCAGAAUGUCCACCGCCUGCUGAGUGAGCAGGCAUCCCUCCUCCUGACUGUUUAUUUAAGGAUGGGCGGCCCCGUUCCCUAGAGAGAAUAAAUUUGAUUAUUUUCUAAUGCUGCCUACAGCUCCCUGUGGGGGUGGGGUGGGGAGCUGGCAGCUGUGGCGGAUGCCCCAAAGGGCUGCUCUACCCAAGAACCAGUCGGCACAGACCUGCUUCUUGGGAAAGCCAGGCUGUCCCUUCUGCGGAAUGGGACUGGAGCCCUGGGACCUGUUUAGAAGCACGCUGGCUGCUUUGCCCAAGUCAGGGUGCGGGGCUCCCUGCACCCCAUCCCCUCAACCAAUCUUCUCUUUGGAAGCUUCUCACCUGUUCACCAUGAGGAUCCCAACUCUCUUCUCUGCCAUGGAGCUGCUCCCCCUCUGCCUGGGGGUUGGGAGCUGGGCCAGCAGAGGCUGGCCACACUACUUACCAGGAUCCAGGCAAACCAGAGAGCCCAGCUCAGGUGCCAUUCAGCCAGAGCAACAAGCUUGUACUUCCAGCUGCAGGGGAAGCCUGGCCCACCACCCCAUCUUCCUGUCAGGAAUACUGUUCCACCAGGCUGCCAGGCUGUGCCACUGCUGCUGCAGGGCUGGCCUGCACCACACCCAGAGGAGGAAGGGUGAAGAGUCAAGACACCAAAGCUUGCUCAAGAUGUUUGAGUGUGCAUGGCUGUGGUUUUACCUGUAGUGCCUUCCACAUUAUCCAGAACCAAUCAGAGCCUUGAAGUAUCACAGGUCUUUACAGCACCACAGCACUGAGAAAAGUUAGGUCUGUGACAAAGAUCUGUUUUAUACAAGAUAAAAUGAUCCUUGGGGGGUUUAAGUGGUAGAUCGGAAAUAGGUUCCCUAUACAGACUGAAGGCAAAAGUGGGAUGAGGGCUAGCUACUCCCAUAAGCCAAGGACAUUUACUUGGUCCUCCCACCUUAGUGACAAUUACAUCCACACUUGACAUGUUUUGUAUUUUUUAAUAAAGUUUGUAAUCCAAUGGACACACAAAACAAAACUGCGCUGAGAAAAACAGUUUCAUAAAUUAAUAGGUGUUAGGAAGUUGUGGGGAGAGGUCAAGGUCACAUAAGAAGAGGGAAGCCAGUCUUUUUGCAGUGUGUGUGUGUUUGUGUGUGUGUGGUCUGUGUGAGAGAGAGACACACACACACACACACACUUUCAGAUCGCAGGGGCAGGGCCCGGCUGUAACGAAGCGCACUUAUACAAAUGAGUGACAAUACAAAGUCUGAGUAUGAAAAUAAGAUUUUCUCUUAAAACACAUUUUUGGCACAGAUUAAAAAAAAUGUAUGUCAGGGGGAUUUGAUUUUUUAAGUCAGUAUUAUAUAUAUUUAUAUAUACACACAUCCCAAGUUCUGCAUAUCCCACCGACAGAAAAUCCUUCGGUUUGCUCUGUUUCGAUUGUAAGCUGUACAUCCUGG